rnacentral:rRNA from 1 species
GACGAACGCUGGCGGCGUGCUUAACACAUGCAAGUCGAACGAUUAAGAAAAGAAUCCAAGCUUCGGCAGAAAUUCAUUUCGGAUUAGUGGCAGACGGUUUAGUAACUCGUGAGCAACCUACUCCUUACAAAGGGAUAGCUUCGGGAAACCGGGAUUAAUACCAUAUAACAUUGUGACGAAGCAUUUCGAUGCAAUCAAAGCUACGGCGGUAAGGGAUGGGGUCGCGUCCCAUUACCCGGAGGGUGAGGUAACGGCGCACCAGAGUGACGAUGGGUAACCGGCAUGAGAGGCUGGGCGGUCACACUGGAGCUGAGAAGCGGUCCAGACUACUAGGGGAGGGAGGAGUGGGGAAUAUUGCACAAUGGAGGGAACUCUGAUGCAGCGACGACGCGUGAGUACUGAAGGAAUUCGUUUCGUAAAACUCUGUUCUAUGGGAAGAAAAGGACGGUACCAUAGGAGAAAGCACCGGCUAACUACGUG